CAAUCUGUUGUUUAUUAUGUUUGCAAUUCAUAAAAGAGUAGCCUACAUUUUACAUUUCAUUUGGAAAUGAGAAUGAGUUAUAGGAUGGUACCAUGAAUAUCUCCUUUCGAAUGUUCUGUAUACUGUAUUAUUUGCAUUUUUACAUGUUAUACAUUUCUUGCUGAGGGUGUGCCCAAAUAAGCUUCAGGCUUGUGCGUGGGUAUGGGAAGGACGAUUGUGAUUGGAUCUACAGCUUCAGGUCGGCUCCGAACCACCAGAAAGCAAUUAUCAUAUUAAUAACACUUCACUUUUAAAAAUGAAACUACUUCCCGCUUUGUAUUAGGAAAAUACAUAUCAAACAUCAUUAGGUUAGAAAAUGUCUUAUAUUAUUUAUCAUAAUUCAUCUUUUUAUUCUAUUAAUAAAAUUCGCAGAACAAUUUUGAAAAUGAAAAUACUAUUUAUUAGGCGGAGUUAAGACCACUAUUUUAUUGUUUGAUUUAAAAGGUAAAAUGUCUUUUAACAUUACCAUAUUAAUUUAAAAAAAUAUAUAAUAUCAGUUGAGCUUUCCUCUUCCAAUAACAAUAGAUUAUAAUGAAUACAUUCUGCCCAUACUUUUUAUUUAAAUAUGAAGUUAAUACAUACUUUUGAAAUUCAAAAGUCAAUUGGCCUAAGGCGAAUUCUAAAUUUAUUCCAUAUCAUACAGAGGCUAUAGGUAGGCAGGGAAAGUUAACUAUACUUCAAUAAAACAUAGUCUUAUCAAAUAAGCAAUCUUAUAUUAUUCUAAAGCUGUUAACAUAUUGAAAUUGUGUAUGAGAUAUUAGAAUUGUCUAUGGAGAGAGUUUUAAGUGUUGUAUAUGAUAAGAUGUACAUGAUAUUUAAUACGUUGUUGUAUAGAUUUCAGCCAAAGAUUUGGUGGUUUAAUCAUAUCAUAUUAAUAGAUUCAUUAAUUGAUAUAUCCUAAUUUUAAGGGUUGAUGUCCUUAAAACUGGUUUUAGAUGUUUGUAAAAUAUGUACCCCUUUUCCCUAGUUGUUAUUGGUGUUUGAAAUUGGCCUACUCUAUUGUACACUGUUGUAAGGUUUAAAAUGUUUUUCGAGAUUUUAAUUUAAAUUUAAAGUGAACAGGUAUUAUUUAUACUUUGUUUCACUUUCCAAAUCAUCCUGGUAUCAAUUUUUAAACAUUUUUAACUUGAUAAUUUUUAACAAAAGUCUUUUUCUAAACUGAGCAAAUGAAAAAUAAAAUUGAAAGCCAAUGGGAGUUCAUGAAGACUUUUCAAAUGUGGUUUGGCCAACUGUAGACUAAGAAACGUUUCAAAUAUCUGUGAUCUGUUAUCAGUUUUUUUAAUCUAAUUGUUAUGUUACCUUGGUAAAUCUGAUCAAUAUCAAUAAAAUUAAUUCCAUCAUCAUUCUGGGACCAAUUUGAAUUGCAAUGAAAUUAAUUAAUUGAAUUAUUAGUUACCCAAGUAUACAGUACAGUACUAUAUAAUUCAUUUCUCGAGAAAUCUUUGACCCGUUGUUGAUCAGCUUCAAAUGUUACAAGUAGUUGAGUUUUAAAUUUGAUUUUAAUACAUCUUUCCAUUAUGCUCCAUUCAUAAUUAUUAGAUGUUUUAUGUCCUACUAUUUGAAUUCAAUGAAUUCAUUGUAAUUUGUUGAAUAUUUAUAUGAAAAUAAUAUUGAAAUAGAAUAUUAAUUCGCAAUAAUACUGGCCUAGUACUGAACAUUUUAAUAUAAUGCAUAUUAAUAUUAUUAAACAUUUUAGACCUUCAUUUGAAGCCUAUUCUCAAGUUUUGUAUUGAUUGCAGUAGGCUAAUGUUAUGUAAUGGGGAAUGCAAACCUAUUCAACAAACUUCUAUUCAGCAAUAUAAUUUCCGUUUUUCAACUAUUAUUUAUUUAUUUGUGGAUACAAUCACAAAUCAUAUAAAUAUAAUUGGGAAGGAGCAACAGGCUUGGCCCAAAACUAUUCCAUUCCCAAAUUUGGUUGUGAAAUGUUCAAAAAUUAUGACGGUACUACAGUUUAAUAUUUUGAAUAAUAGUUAUUAAAAACUAGUACUCACGUGAAGCGCUUUCGGAUUUUAAAAAUCCAUUUUCAACACUGAAAAGUGUUAUUUUUCGAAAUAUUAGGUAGACUGUAGUGUCGUCAUAAUAGUUCAAAAACGGAUUAUUAACUAGCAGUUCGUCAUGGAUAGCAAAAUAGAUGACUAAUAUAAUUUCUCCUACACCUAAAAUCAAUCGUAUAAUCGAUGUUAUAAAAUUAACAAUUAAUAAAUGUUCAAUCAAACUGUAUUUUAUUAUUAUGUUUGAUGUAUUUAUCUUUUUCAAUUUGUUUAAAUUUAGGCCUAUGUACCAAAAUGUUGUUGAUUGGUCAAAAAGUGGUUGAAUGACAAACAAAAUGAGGCUAAUACACAGAUUACAUACAGCAGUUCUGUAAAGUUGUGAUAGCUAUCAAAAUUUCAUAAAUGUUUAUUAAAAUUUUGUUGAAAACGUUCAAUUUCCAUUUCUCACAUAAUAUGCCUAUUAAUUUUCAAAUAGAAUGAACAAGAGGUAAAUGAUGAAUGUACUUACUUGAUUUACUUAUGAAUCUAAAGUAAUAAAUAUGAAAAUAAUAUAUGGUAAACGUUGUGUAGUUUGUAAACUUCAUAGCAAUAUCGAGAUUCUAUGUAUAAGUCUACUGAUGCGUAUAAUUUAGUUGUAUUAACUAUGUAUGGAAAAGACUGAAUUUAUAUUGAGCAUUCACUUCUUUGAUUCUUUAUUUUUAUCAUUAUUAAUCAUUGGUUAAUUUUACCCAGUAUUCUGUCAUAGCAGAUGCAGCUGCUAUAAUAACAUUCAUUUUUCAUCAUGGAAUGUAUUGUUUGUAUAGUUUGUUAUUAUUCAAUAUUUCUCUAAUUUUACUUACACGUUGAUUUAAGUGUUGCUAUUUGUACAGUAUCGAAUUAUACAGGAAAUUGAUGGUUUUUGUGUAAAAACGUCGAAUAAACCAAAUUUCAAAUUA